rnacentral:tRNA from 1 species
AUCCAUAUAGUUUACUUAAAACAUUACAUUUUCACUGUAAAGAUAGGCUUCCGCCUUAUGGUUG